CCCUUAGAUGUUCUGGGCGGCCCGCCCACUACAUUGGCACUGUCAGCAAGGGUCUGAAACUAAAACUUUUGGGUAUUCUGAGAACCGGUGUCGUGACUGGGAUUGACCCUUGCAAUUAUUGGUUAUGAACGAGGAAUUCCUUGUAAUCGCGGUUUAUCAGCCCGCGUUGAAUGCGUCCCUGCCCUUUGUACACACCGCCCGUCGCUCCUACCGAUGAAUCGUCCGGUGAAGUUCAUGGAGUAGUGGUUGUUCCAUCCGCUGUCGAAGUGAAAUAAACCUCAUGAUUUAGAGGAAGGAGAAGUCGUAACA
rnacentral:rRNA from 1 species